AUGUGGUUACGUUGGACCUACUUGGAUAAUCGAGGACAACACUCCUGCGUUAGUUCCCUAGAGCUGCUGCAAGAAACGAGCACGGAGUGCCAUGGGCUCCAAGGCCCAUCACUUUAUCCACUUGUAACUGAGCCCUGCUGCACCCGCAGGCUCGUGAAUGCAGGGGUCCAGGGUGGGCACCACAGCAGGAGCCCUGCCUCUGUGGCCUCCCACUGGCAGCAGGUGUCGACCUUUACCAGUGCAGCUCCUGCAGGGUGUCUCCCAUUGUGCAGUCAACCCAGGAGCACACAGACAACCUCCCAGGAGCUGCUGGCUCUGAGGUUCUGCAGAGGAGGGCAUCACAAUAACGGCAAGUGCAUGGCACUUGGCAGCAGUCAGUGGCGCUCUCUGAGCUCACUGCCCAAAGCAGGGCCCUUCUUUGCUGAUAGGAGUCUUUCCUUCCUUUUGCCCCAUCCCUGCAGAGAGAUGCUCCAGCCACUCCGGAAGUGCCCAAGUCCCUGUUCCACCACUGCCAUACACCCAGAGAAUUCCUUGCUGCCAACGAGUGACGUCCAAGGAGCUCCUGCUGCCAGAUCUGCACCCGUGUCAGUCAUCCGCCCCCCUAUGCCCAGAGAAUGUGUGGCUAAAGGUAGGUGAGGGGCGGCCACGCAUGAGCCUCAAAUACAGGGGUGAGAGCCAGUGUUGGAUCCCCAAGAACCGAGAGGAGGGUAGUAUUUGGAAUUACUUGUUCAGCUAAAUAAGGUGGAUGACACAAAUAUUCUAAACUGUGGAGCAUGUGUGUGAGCAGAGAAACACGAUAGAAAAACGGGUGCUACCGGAAUGGAAGCAUCACAUGUGCGCUUGGGUGACGUGUGUGGACAUCUGCAGCUAGCACCCCAGCAAGCCCCUGGCAGGACUCUGUCCUGUCCCCCGGGGUCUCAGCAGUCCACUCACUGUCACAGCAGAAGGGCUCCCCUGCUCAUCUCCCAGGUCAACAGGGAGGAGGGCCAUACCCAGCCCACUGUGUUCAUUAUGCAGCCUGGACUCACAGUUCCAUGUUGGAGAUGCUGGAGGCUAGUCUUCAGUGGGGACUGGGUGUGACUGGCAGAGUCACAGCUUAAACCAUGGCCAACACAAUGUGGCCCCACCCUCCCCACCACUUGCUCCCAUCCAGUCUCCUGACACACAUGGAGACCAGGGCAGUGCCCCAUUCCAUUCCAUCGGUACCCCAGCCCUGCCAUCCCUUCUUGGGUGGUGGGUGCCACACAGCUUCUUCUGAGUGACAGGAAAGACAGUGCUCAAGAAGCAAAGACAUGAUGACCAGACAGGUGUUGACCAUGUGUCCCACCUAGUUGUGUCCAGGUGAGAGUACUCAAGUCCCCUUCGGCAUGUGGCUCUUGAGCUCACCUCUUGAAUGUGUGGUAGAGCAGUCUCAGGGCCACCUCAUUCCCAUCCUGUCUCAGUAAUCCAGGUCAGCCAUGACCGUCCAUUGUCACUCUGCUGGACACUUGUCAUCCAUCAUCACGUUUAAUCCCUCUGUGGGUUAUCUGAGACAGAUCAUCAUUCCCACUGUGAUGGCUAAGAUUAGAAAAGGCUGGGAUCCCCCCAUAAGUGUGGGCAGAGCUUUGAGACCUCAAUGGCUCAAACCCUCCCCACUUCAUGCCCAGGAGGACACAUUCUCUUCUGCAUUCAAAAUGGUAAAUACCAAAUAGGCACAUAGGCUUUUAAUGCAACAUUAGUAAUAGCAUGGGUUUGGGUCUCUUAAACAUUUGUACAUUUAAUUCUAAAUCUUCCAAUGUUGAAAAAUGCAUUCUCACUUAAGAAAGAUAGUUAUCUUCCAGUGAAUUUAUGCAAAUUAGCAAACCUCAACAAAUAAAAAAAUAGAAAAUCUCCAGCCCUGUGGCUACACUGUUGAAUUCUGCUGAACUAAAAAAUAAUAAUAACAGCUUACACAAGCUCUCCCAGAAAACAGAGGAGGGGAAACCCAUUCUGUGAGGCCAGUUUCAACCUGAUACCAAAGCCAGACAAUGUCAUCACAAAAGAAUACCAUGAAGCAAGAUCCUUCAAGAAAAUACAGAAACCAUUGACUAAGUAUUAGCAAACCAAAUCUAGGAACACACAGGAUUAAAUACCAUGGCCAUGUGAAGACCAAUUGACCUUAUACAAAAUAUU
rnacentral:lncRNA from 1 species